rnacentral:lncRNA from 1 species
GACAACUAAAAAAUAUUAAAAAAAAAAAAAAAAGAAAAAGGAUGAGCUCAAACCAUGUGCAGUGGCACAUGCCUGUUAUCCCAGUAACAUGGGAGGUUGAGGCAGGAGGAUUGUGUAUUUAAAGCUAGCCUCAGCAAUUUAGUAAGACCCUGUCUCAAAAUAAAUAGGGCUGGGGUAUGGGAUAUGGUUCCUUUGUUAAGUGACCUAGGGAGUUAAUCCCUAAUGCCCCCCAAAAAAGAAA